GUCAGGGCGGCGCAGGAGCGGAUAUGCCGGUGGUUGAGAUUUGGCGGAGGCGGGCGUCGUCGUGCGGAAGAUUUGAUAGAAGCGACCGGUUUAACGGCGCUAGAAUCGAGGGCGCACAGGUGAGAAGACAGGCAGCCGCGGGCGCGCGGGCGAGCGCGGAGCAACAGAUUGUCGGGCGGCUUCUGACAGGGCGGGGAAAGGAGCUGUCGCUGCCGUGGUCGGGGUUGGCGAUGGAGGAAUCGUCGUGUAGCGGAGACCAGGCGGCGCGACUAUGUUCGAAGUGACGGAAAAGACGGGCGACAUCGGGCUCUGCGGCCGGGAUCUGGCGGUGUGAUGAUGGGC
rnacentral:lncRNA from 1 species